rnacentral:lncRNA from 1 species
UUUCAAUCCCUGAGUUUAGGAUGGCUAGAUCUGCUCAGGGAUUGUUUAGUUUUCUGCGAAGGUUUAGGGUCAGAUUCUGCUCUGGUUUCAGGGCCAAAGUGUGUUUCUUUCACUGGUCCUUUAUUGGCCUUUUGGCUCUAGUUUUAGGGACAGGUGUAUUUCUUUCGCUGGCUCUGAUUCCAGGGGCAGGUGUUUCUUUGGCUCUGCUCAGGGUGUGUUUCUUUGGCUGGUCCUUUUCCCCUAAAGUUACAAGCAGCCACAUGGCCAGGAGGGGAGCUCUAGAGGAAGAGUAAGAACGCCUACCGUACCAGAGAACUUGCAUUGGGCCAGCAUCUGAAAGAAAGAUGAAGAAGAGAAGAAAAAUGGAAAGAUGGAUGUUUCUGAGUCAGGACUCCUGGGGAAUUUGGAACUACUGCACUAGAGGCCAAGAAUUUUUUGAAGGGAAGUCUCCAGACCUUUGCCUGAUAAUCAAUAGUCAAGUAGUGCAGGCUCUACAAGUGGAGGUCCCACCGAGAUCGGGAAAGCAAGGACGUCCUCGAAGGCUGGCCAGCAGCACAUCCUGUUUUUCUCUUGCACAGCUGAGCACUCUGGCAAACGUCUUCGGGAAGCCCUAUAGGCUUGUGACUGUGACCUUUUCACCCUGGGGGUUUUCCACUGUGCUGCAAGACAGUAUUUGAGGCUCCACAUUCCCCCAAAUAAAUGGCAUUCUG